CACGUAGGCGGACUAUUAAGUCAGGGGUGAAAUCCCGGGGCUCAACCCCGGAACUGCCUUUGAUACUGGUAGUCUCGAGUCCGGAAGAGGUGAGUGGAAUUCCGAGUGUAGAGGUGAAAUUCGUAGAUAUUCGGAGGAACACCAGUGGCGAAGGCGGCUCACUGGUCCGGUACUGACGCUGAGGUGCGAAAGCGUGGGGAGAAACA
rnacentral:rRNA from 1 species